CUGAGAGGGUAGACCGUGCUCAGCUCUAACUGUAAACAUACUGUACUGGGUACCAAAGGAACAAAGCCUUGCUAACUGAAGGCUAUGGAAUCUGCUUCAUCAACUGUUUGCUACAGAACACUGCUGGCUCAAUACUGUACGUGCACAAGACAGACUGAAAUCUCAAAGAGCUCUGAACUUGCAAACGUCUCUGCAUGGUUUAAAGGACAGAAUAUGAGAAUAAUCCAGCACAAGACAGUGUGGACUGAAGAGGAAACAUGAAUCUAUUUACCAUUAUGAAGCCCCGUACUGAACUGACAGGUAUGGAAUGUAACAUUGCUCCAAAGGCUCGGCAUGCUGAUAUUGUCUUUGUGUAUUUGAAGUAUUUCCACUGGCCUCGAGAGUGUUCAUAUAUCCAGAAUGUGGAAUCCACAACACAGCGCUUUGGAAGGAAUAGACUUGACAACCAUCAACUUAACUGCAUUGUGUCAGAGGAACCACUAGUUUGACAGCAAUCCGUAUCCAAUGCAUGCAGGACCUUUGGAAGAAAUUUCUCUGCUACAGUCACACAUUUGUCAUGUUUCAUUUCCAAGUAUCAAGAAAACAGCAUCCUCAUUUAGGACAGAGAGAAGGAAAGACUAUAACCUUACACUGGUCAGCAGGUGGCUUGCAUUAUUAAUCAACUCCAGCAGAGCUGGAAAACACAGCUGUCCUGCAUGCACAUGCCAUGAAAGCUUGCUUUAAUCAGGGACCAUAGUACUUGUGUUCAGUUCUCUGUUCUCUCUGUGGCGUUUUUCUGUUUGUCACUGAUUGUGAAACCUUAUCUUACAGAAAAGCUUUGUGAUCUCAAACUAAUAAUUAUCAAUGUUCAAAUACUUUUUCAUAGAAUGUGCAUUAGAGAGUUGGAUUUUUCUGUAUUCUGUUACAUUAUGUGUUUAUGUGACAUAGCACUAUUAUAACAGAAACUAUUUUUUCGCUUAGAAAGUUGUGACUUAGUAAAAUGAGGGAAAAAAAUGGAAAUAGUCAUUAGAAAUUAUACUUAAUAUUUUUACAGUUCAAUGUACAAAUC